rnacentral:rRNA from 2 species
AAAGUGGUACGCGAGCUGGGUUUAGAACGUCGUGAGACAGUUCGGUCCCUAUCUGCCGUGGGCGCUGGAGAACUGAGGGGGGCUGCUCCUAGUACGAGAGGACCGGAGUGGACGCAUCACUGGUGUUCGGGUUGUCAUGCCAAUGGCACUGCCCGGUAGCUAAAUGCGGAAGAGAUAAGUGCUGAAAGCAUCUAAGCACGAAACUUGCCCCGAGAUGAGUUCUCCCUGAGACUUAGAGUCUCCUGAAGGAACGUUGAAGACGACGACGUUGAUAGGCCGGGUGUGUAAGCGCAGCGAUGCGUUGAGCUAACCGGUACUAAUGAACCGUGAGGCUUAACCUUACAACGCCGAAG